rnacentral:rRNA from 1 species
GAUGAACGCUGGCGGCGUGCCUAACACAUGCAAGUCGAACGAAGCUUGACGGAUGAUUUCUUCGGAAUGAAACCAGAUAUGACUUAGUGGCGGACGGGUGAGUAACACGUGAGCAACCUGCCUUUCAGAGGGGGAUAACGGCUGGAAACGGUCGCUAAUACCGCAUGAUGUGUUCGGAUGGCAUCAUCUGAACAUCAAAGAUUUAUCGCUGAAAGAUGGGCUCGCGUCUGAUUAGAUAGUUGGUGGGGUAACGGCCUACCAAGUCUACGAUCAGUAGCCGGACUGAGAGGUUGAACGGCCACAUUGGGACUGAGAUACGGCCCAGACUCCUACGGGAGGCAGCAGUGGGGAAUAUUGCACAAUGGGGGAAACCCUGAUGCAGCAACGCCGCGUGAAGGAUGACGGUUUUCGGAUUGUAAACUUCUUUUCUUAGUGACGAAGACAGUGACGGUAGCUAAGGAAUAGGCAUCGGCUAACUACGUG